GGGGACACAAAGACAGGGGGACACGGGGACACAAAGACAGAGGGACACGGGGACAUGGGGACACAAAGACAGGGGGACAUGGGGACAUGGGGACAUCGUGACAUGGGGACACGGGGACACAAAGACAAAGGGACAUGGGGACACAAGGACAUCGUGACAUGGGGACACGGGGACACAAAGACAGGGGGACAUGGGGACACGGGGACAUGGUGACACGGGGACACGGGGACACAGGAACACAGGGACAUCAUGACAUAGGGACACGGGAACACAGAGACAUGGGGACAUGGGACACAGGGACAUGGGGACAUCGUGACACGAGGACACAAGGAUAUGGGGACACAGGGACAGUGGGACAUGGGGACAUCGUGACAUGGGGACAUGGGAACACGGGGACACAAAGACAGGGGGACAUGGGGACACAGGGACAUGGGGACACAGGGACACAGGGACAUCAUGACAUAGGGACACGGGGACACAGAGACAUGGGGACAUGGGGAUAUGGGACACGGGGACAUGGGACACGGGGACAUUGUGACACGGGGACACAGGGACACAAAGACAGUGGCACAUGGGGACAUCGUGACAUGGGGACAUGGGGACAUUGUGACAUGGGGACACAAAGAUGGGGACACGGGGACAUCGUAACACGGGGACACAAAGACAGGGGGACAUGGGGACAUCGUGACACGGGGACAUGGGGACACAGGAACACAGGGACAUGGGGACACGGGGACACAGAGACACGGGGACACGGGGGUCCCCCCCAUUCGGGGACAGGGCACUUUGGGGUCCCCAUGUUUCGGGAUGGGGGGUUUUGGGGUCCCCCCCAUUUGGGGACAGGGCACUUUGGGGUCCCCAUAUUUCAGGACAGGGCACUUUGGGGUCCCCCCCCAUUUGGGGACGGGGCACUUUGGGGUCCCCAUAUUUCAGGACAGGGCACUUUGGGGUCCCCCCCAUUUGGGGACGGGGCACUUUGGGGUCCCCCCCAUUUGUGGACAGGGCACUUUGGGGUCCCCAU
rnacentral:lncRNA from 1 species